UGCAUAAUGCAGUAAGCCAGUAGAUAUUGCAGGAAAACUGCCCUGUUUAACCAUCAAGUUCCUCGAUUUAUACAGCAAAGGAGAGAAAUGAAAACAAACAGUGGGUUGAGCCCUGCAUUGUGAGUUAGAUUGUCUGAGUUUUCCUUUUGACUCUGCCUUUCACUUGUUGCAUGGCCUUUGAUAAUUCUACUUAAUUUGUCAAAGUCUCAGUUUCAUUGUUUAUGAAAUGAAGGUUAUGUGUAAAGCAGACACAGCAGGGAAAUCUCAGAGUACCUAAUACUCUAUCUGCUUUGGGCUCAAUAAACCUAAAUCACAAAGCACACCAAAAUAAAAAUUAAAAAAAAAACUGCCUGGAAAGAAAGCAAUUCAACAGCAUCUGCAAAAGGAGAAAUCAAUAGCAUCUGUUGAUAAGAAUCCAACCAGCUGCCAAAGAUAGAGGAAACUUCUAAAGAAAAAACCAUCAGGAAAUUCUUUGGUGAGAAUAAUGGAUAAAGGAGUCAAGAAGUAUGCUUAAGAUCUUCCAUUUGGCAAGGACCAAGGAUAACUGAUGGAAAACCUUCAUGCUCCACUAUACUUCCAAUGUUGAGAGAACAUGAGGAAGGAACUAGUCUUGUUGAGUGAACCCUUUCUAGUAGGCCCUUUUCUGGUUUCUUUUGAUUUUGGGAAGAUAUCAACCUAGUAGUAGUAUACCUGUGGCAAAAGUUACUAAAUACUGAAGUCUGAGUCUGUUUUCAAACUGUGAAGGAGAUGAGGAGAUAAAGGAAAGAAGAAAGGAAGAGGGAAAAGAAGCAGAAGAGAGAAAAGGAGAAAAAGAAGGAGGGAAAGAGAGAGGAAGAAGGAAGGAUGUUCUCAGAUUUAUGAUGUGACAUCUGAAUCUGAAAGUUUCUAAGAUAUUUCACAAAGAAAAUGAGUAAAGCUUUUCAUUUAAACCUAGUAAUUUAGUAUUAUGUGUCAUGAAAGUUAAUAGAAAGCUUUCAUAAAGACUAUAAUCAUCAUGAGUGAUAUUAUAUAAUCAGCAAUAUCUUAAAUGAAUUGGUAUUCUUAUAGUAUCUCAUCUGUUAGACUAUGGAGCCCUACAUUGCUGGGAGUGUUAACCUAUAAAUUACCAAUAAAUUAAUUAGCACCUUUGCAUCAAGGAUAAGAUCUGAGGUCUUAUGAAAUUCUCAAGAUGGAAAUAGUAAAAUUUGCUCAGAGCAUUUAUGACACUUUUAAAAGAAUAACUAAAUCUAUGCUAACACUGACGCUGCAGUUUUGAAGUGAUGGGGAAUAAUAGAAUUAGGGAGGAAAAAAACUAAAAACAACAACAAAAAAAGGUCCUUGAAAAAAGGUCUUCUAUGGCAAAGUUUUUUCUUCAAAUCCACAAAACUAUUUAUCCUUCAAAUCUCCUCCUGACCUCCAAUGCUAAUACAUGGAGUACAUUAUUUAGUUGUUGAGUUAUUUUCAGUUGUGCCCAAUUCUUUAUUGCUGAAAACAGCAAACUGUCCCCCUUUUCAGUCCAUUUUAUAGUUGAGGAAACUGAGGCAAACAGAACUUAGAAAAAGGAGUCUUCUGACUCUUAGCCUGGCACUCUACUCACUGUGCUAUCUAGAUGCACUCAUUAUUUUUUAGCAAAUACAAGCCAAGUAAUUCUCAUGGUAUGGGGAAAGAUUUGAUUCAUUCCCUGCCUUCUACUUUCCCUUGUUUCCUCCAUACCUUGGCUUUUCACUUUCCUGAAAUUUCCUAUCAUAAAAUGAAGUUUGCUUGUUUGAAAAGAUAGAGAAUUGGAUUUAUCAAGUCAGGAGUAGGUUCAUAUCCCACAUCAAACACUUAAUGAUUCUAAAUUUAGAGCUGGAAGAAAUCCUAUAAAUCCUUUAGUCCAGGAGUUGAGGCAGCUAAAUGGUUUAGUGUAUAGAGUUCUGGGUUUAGGAAAACUUAUACCUGGUUCAAAUCUAGCCUCAAACAGUAGUUGUGCGACCCUGAACAAGACACAACUACAUUUA